GGCGGGGCAAAGUGGCAGGAACCUCUUAAAGGGCGAGAGCGGCGCGGAGCCAGAACGCGGUCGGCCCGGUCCCCGCCGCACCCAGCCCAGAGAAGAGUUUAGUGACUGAGGCCGAAAAUUCACAGCACCAACAGAAGGAAGAGGGUGAGGAAGCCAUAAACUCAGGCCAACAAGAACCUCAGCAGGAGGAAUCUUGUCAAACAGCAGCUGAAGGAGAUAAUUGGCGUGAACAGAAGCUGAAAGCUUCUAAUGGAGACACUCCUACACAUGAAGACUUGACCAAGAACAAGGAGCGGACAUCAGAAAGCAGAGGACUUUCACGACUAUUCUCCUCGUUUCUCAAAAGGCCCAAAUCUCAGGUGUCCGAGGAAGAAGGCAAAGAAGUAGAGUCAGAUAAAGAAAAAGGUGAAGGAGGUCAGAAAGAGAUAGAAUUUGGAACCAGUCUUGAUGAAGAGAUCAUUUUAAAGGCCCCAAUUGCAGCUCCUGAACCUGAACUCAAAACAGACCCAUCUUUGGAUCUUCAUUCAUUAAGCAGUGCAGAAACACAGCCUGCUCAGGAAGAACUCAGAGAAGAUCCAGAUUUUGAAAUUAAGGAAGGAGAAGGACUUGAAGAGUGCUCCAAAAUAGAAGUAAAAGAAGAAAGCCCUGAAUCAAAAGCAGAAAGAGAAUUAAAAG
rnacentral:sRNA from 1 species